UUGCACUUUCGGACCAGUUUUGGAGCAUAUCAAUAAAACUAAAUACUCUUUAUGCCAAUCUUUCUCAUGCUCCUCUUGUUAUAAUGUUUUGAGUCAACUGAAAGCAAAGAGUUGGAUGGGUGGGCAACGAAACCGAAGUUGGUUGGUUGCUCGUAUGACAUUGUGAGCGCACAGAGAAAUUUUUUUGAGAAACUGCUCGUUAGAGCUUAGGGCUGGAUGAUACCAUAUAAUGUUUUGAGUCUGGCUGAAUAGCUUUCAUUGAUUUGUUUACAAGGAAUAAUACAAGAUGAUAUACUAGUCUAGGAGUGACUUUACACGGAAAGUAAUAAAUGAAAACAUGUAAUUAGCAGCAGCUAUCUAUACAAAUUAACAAUUAGAGAUUAUGUAAAAGUCAACGGUUGAUUUGCCUAGCUGGGAUGGUUGAUACCUGGAGGAGAUGGUGUCAUCAUGGCUGGUGUAGGAGUGAUAGAUGGAGAGGAAGAGACUUCCCUUUUACUUCUCAAAUCUUAAUUUUACCCCAUUUUCUUCCCUACAAAAUUGUGAGCAACAGAACUCACAAAUACGUACAGUUUAUACACACCUAUAGACGCACCAUUUUGAACAUUUAUAUUGUUAGUGUAGAUGAAUUCACGGGUUUUGAUCUAGAGAAAGAGAGCUGGACGGAGAACAAACAAGGAACACAGAGGAAGCUGAAUGGUUUCUUUUCUCUUUGUCAAAGUUGCAGAGGAAUAUUUUCUGUGUAUUUUAAAGAGCACAAAGCACAUUUUACAUAACUGUUGGCCUUAAACUUGGGACCACACAUACACUACAUUUCAUCUUAGUCACUCAUCUACCUAAUUACAUGGAUCAACCAACACAUGGCACUCAUGGCCUUUUACAAAACAGAACUUUACACUUGGCAUUAUUUUGCACAAGUGAAUACACCAAUUUAAACAAUCUUUUCUAAACUUUUCAGCUCAACACUUAUAAUUCAACACUCCCCUUUAAGUUUUGAGCUGAUUUCACUCCAAGCAUUUCCCUGAGAUAGUUGAACCGAUCCUUUGUUAAAGCCUUAGUGAAUAUGUCUGCCACCUGCUCAUUUGUUGGACAGUACACCAUAUCAAUUAUCCCUUCCUGGAGUGCAUUCUUGAUGAAAUGAUACCUUCUGUCAAUGUGCUUGGUUUUCUGAUGAAAAACUGGAUUCUUAGUGAUUGCAAUUACAGCUGUAUUGUCACAGUGCACUGGAGUUGCUUCAGUUUGCAUCUCACCAAAUUCUUCAAGUACAAAUCUAAGCCAUAUGGCUUGAGCAGUUGCUUCAGAGGCACUGAUGUACUCUGCUUCUGCAGUAGAGAGUGCUACACAAUUCUGCUUCACAGAGGCCCACGAGAACACUCCACUGCCAAAAGAAAAUGCAUAACCAGAAGUACUUUUGCUGUCAUCAACAGAUCCUCCCCAAUCACUAUCACAAAAUCCGAUUAACAUUGCAUUCUUUCCUUUUACAUACUUCAGACCAUAGUCUAAUGUUCCCUUGAUGUAUCUAAGCACUCUUUUGGCUGUUCCAAAGUGUUUAUUUGUAGGACAGUGCAUGAAUCGAGCUAGAAGGCUUGCAACAUACAUUAUAUCUGGUCGAGUAGCUGUGAGAUACAACAAACUUCCUAUAAUUCUUCGAUACUGUUCCUCACUUGCUAAACCACUGCCAUCAUCUUUGCAUAACUUCUCUUAUGAAACAAGAGGUGUGAACACAGAUUUACACUCAUUCAACUUAUCCAACAAGGAAGCAGCAUAUUUUCUUUGAUGGAUAAAGAUGCUUGUGUGAGUUUGAAUAACUCCCAUACCAAGAAAAUGGUGAAGAAGUCCCAAAUCUGUCAUCUCAUUUUUUAUCAUCAUGUCUUCCUUGAACUCCUUCAACAUCUUAGUGCUAUUUCCAGUAUACACUAUGUCAUCCACAUAGAUUGAAACAAUUAGAAUUUCUCCUCCCCUUGCUUUGAUGUAAAGAGUAGCUUCACUUUGACUUUUCACAAACCCACAGUGAGCAAAGUAUGUAUCAAUUUCACUAUACCAGGCCCUUGGUGCCUGCUUUAGACCAUACAAAGCUUUAUGAAACUUGUACACCUUGUCUUCACUCCCCUUGAUCACAAACCCAUCUGGUUGUUCUACAUAAACCUCUUCUUCAAGUACUCCAUUCAGAAAAGCAGAUUUCACAUCUAGUUGGUAUAAUUUCCAACUUUUCUGAGCUGCUAAGGCAAUUAGAGUCCGAAUUGUAUCAAGUCUAGCUACAGGGGCAAACGUUUCAUUGUAAUCCACACCUGGUUUCUGAGCAUAUCCCUUGGCUACCAACCUUGCCUUAUGCUUUUGCACUGUCCCAUCAAGAUUAAGCUUGGUCUUGAAUACCCACUUAACCCCAAUUAUAGGUUUAUCACAUGGUCUGUUCACUAGAUCCCAUGUUGCAUUCUUCUCAAUCAUUGACAAUUCAUCUUUCAUAGCUUUCAUCCAUGAUUCAUCUUUAGCUGCCUCUUCAAAUUUUUCAGGUUCCAUAAUGCAAAGAUUGCAUUGUGCUAGAACAUCAUCUAGAUUCCUCCAUCUCAAUGGAGUGUGAUCAAAGGCUUGAGUCUUUCUCAUGCUGCUGUUCACAUCACUUACAGAUUCAUGAGAAGAUACCAGACUUGGUGACAAAGCAUAGUCAUUUCCUACUGGAGUUGUCUCUGAUGAAAUACAUUUAGGCAUCUCAGAUAACUCAUUAUGAUUCAACACAGUUACAUAAUUCUCAGAAGUUUUCUUCCAUUCCCAGGCUGCAUUUUCAUCAAACACUACAUCCCUUAAGAGUAUAAGCUUUUUACUAAGGGGAUCAUACACUCUGUACCCCUUUUCACAGGUUGCAUAACCUACAAAUAUGCCCUUGACACUCUUUGCAUCUAGUUUCUGUCUCAACUCACUUGGUGUAUGUACAUAACAUAAACAACCAAAGAUUCUAAGAUGUGCAAUUCUAGGUUUUCGACCACUGAAUGCUUCAAAUGGAGUUACUUCUCCAAGAGCUCUUGUAGGACACCUAUUCAGUAUGUCGACAGCUGUGAGUACAGAUUCUGCCCAUAAAUAGUAAGGUAGUCCCUUGUCAUGAAGCAUAGCUUUUGCCAUUUCAACUACAGCUCUGUUCUUCCUUUCUACCACUCCAUUCUGUUGUGGAGUAUAAGCCAUAGAAAACUGUCUUUGAAUCCCUGCAUCUUCACACAUUUUGUUGAAUUCACAAGAUGUGAAUUCACCCCCUCUGUCACUUCUCAGACAUUUUACUUUAAAACCACUUUGCAACUCCACCAUGGAUUUAAAUUUUCUAAAACAGAUCAAUGCAUCUGACUUGUAUUUCAGAAAAUAAACCCACAUCAUUCUUGUACAGUCAUCUACAAGAAGCAUAAAAUAUUUAUUACCCGCAAGAGAAUCAUUUUGCAUAGGACCACAAAGAUCUACAUGCACCAGCUCUAGAGGUUUGCUUGCUCUCCAUGCCUGAUUCUUUGGAAACCAUUCUCUAUGCUGUUUCCCAAACUGACAGCCUUCACAAACUUCAUCCAUUUCUUCUAAAACUGGAAGACCAUGCACCAUUUCUUUGUUCUUAAGCUGUUGAAAACCUCUAAAAUGCAGAUGGCCUAGUCUCUUGUGCCAUAUCCAAGUAGACUUAAAGAUACUUGCUCUUAGUACAACCUGAUCAUUUGGUAUCAGUGUCAAAGGAUAACACCUGUUCUUUUUCAUUUCAACUUUGAGUACCAGACAAUCCAAUGAAGGACCAUCAAAGAUACUACACAUAUUUCCCCCAAAUACCAUGUAGUAACCGUGUUUAUCCAUCUGACCCACACUUAACAAGUUUUCCUUCAAACCAGGUAGGUACAUUACUUCCUUGACAUAUUUUCUGCCUUUGCUUGUGUCUAUCACAAGUGUACCAAAACCUGCCACAUUCAUAAGUUCUCCUAUGGGCAUUUGAGCCUUGCCAACCACAUUUGUCUUCAUGUCUAUCAACAACUUUGGAUCCCCUAUCAUAUGGUUGCUACAACCACUGUCAACAUACCAUUCUCCAUUCACUUUUGAUUCAGUGAUUGUGCUAUUUGCAUAAAACAAGUUCCCUGUCACCUCAACUUGAUUAGCACUAUUUGCCUUUUGCACUGAUUUACCUACUGUGCACUCUCUAGCCCAGUGUCUAAACUUUUCACAGUUAUAGCAUUUGGGUUUCCCUUUAUACCUACAUUCUCCAAAAUGAAACUUAGAGCAUACCCUGCACUGUGGUUUUAUACCUAUCUAAUCCAUUGACUGUGCAUUAUGUGCAGAAUUAGCAGGAAAUUUCUGCUGAAACUUGGGUUUUGAACCCCAUUUCUUGCCCUUAUUAUUCCAAUUCUUCUGGAACUGAGAUGAACCAGAUUGACCUUCGCCCCUAUUUUGCUCCUUUGAACUCACUGAGAAAGAUAAGAAUGCUUUCCCGGUAGUAUCAACAGUAUGCAGAUCAAACCGUUGUUCUUGACUCUUUAAGAUUGCAACUACCUCCUGCAAUUCUACAAUCUCUAGACACUUUGUGUUUUCUAUAACCAAACAGAUAGAAUCAUAAGGUUUACUAAGACUAAUCAGAACCUUCUGCACAAGUCUCUCAUUCGACAAAGAUUCACCAAAUGUUCUCAUCUAAUUAAUUAGUUCAUUCAACCGUGUAAGAUAGCUAGAUAAAGACUCAUCAUCUCGCAUCCUAGCAUAUUCAAAUUCUCUUUUAAGAUUCUGCAAUUUCACAGAUCGUACCUGAUCACCACCAUGAUAUUCUCCGUACAACAAAUCCCAUGCCAUCUUAGCUGACUCGGCAUUGGCAAUUCGUGGGAAGAUUUGAUCCGAGACUAUAUUCUGAAUGGUUCCCAAAGCCUUUGCGUCUUUCAUCAAAGCAGCUACCAUUUCUUCAUCAUCCUCCGAUGCUUCUCCAGCUUCCUUCUUCUUCGGAUUGGAGGUUGUAAUCCCCUUCUCUACCAGAUUCCAUAACCCAAGAGAUUUGAAUAUUGUUGCCAUUUUAAUUCUCCAGAACUCGUAGUUCUCACCGGAGAAAACUGGAGUCCUCACUUCCAAGCCUCCAGAUCCAGACAUGUUUUUUAUCUGAAUCGACAACCUUCACGGAGCUUCAAGAGAGCUUCGAUUUAGCUCAAUAACUUCACAGAUUUACGCCCAGAUGGUUAAAUCCAACCUAGCUCUGAGGCCAUGUUAGUGUAGAUGAAUUCACGGGUUUUGAUCUAGAGAAAGAGAGCUGGAUGGAGAACAAACAAGGAACACAGAGGAAGCUGAAUGGUUUCUUUUCUCUCUGUCAAAGUUGCAGAGGAAUAUUUUCUGUGUAUUUUAAAGAGCACAAAGCACAUGCUUUUACAUAACUGUUGGCCUUAAACUUGAGACCACACAUACACUACAUUUCAUCUUAGUCACUCAUCUACCUAAUUACAUGGAUCAACCAACACAUGGCACUCAUGGCCUUUUACAAAACAGAACUUUACACUUGGCAUCUUAUUCUAAACUUUUCAGCUCAACACUUAUAAUUCAACAUAUACACAACCAGACUAUUCAAAUUCUUUCGAAAUCUUUCAAUGGGGAGUCUCGUACGCCUAUACAGCCCCUUAGAGUUCUCUACCUGCCAACUUUCUAGCAAACCAUUUUCAACAUACUACUAGAUAGUAGAUAACACAGUUAUAACCAAGUGCCACACCAUUUUAUGAAACCGAAGGCUUCCCGUUACAACCCAUACACAAGUGGAAGUGUUCGGCUAGAGUUUUGGCGAUAUCCAUCAUCUCAAAGA
rnacentral:lncRNA from 1 species